CACGUAGUUAGCCGGGGCUUUCUUCUCCUAUACCGUCACACAUCAGGCAGUUACUCCUGAUGCUGUUCGUCUAGGGCAACAGAGCUUUACGAUCCGAAAACCUUCAUCACUCACGCGGCGUUGCUCCGUCAGACUUGCGUCCAUUGCGGAAGAUUCCCUACUGCUGCCUCCCGUAGGAGUCUGGGCCGUGUCUCAGUCCCAGUGUGGCCGUUCACCCUCUCAGGUCGGCUACGCAUCGUCGCCUUGGUGAGCCGUUACCUCACCAACUAGCUAAUGCGCCGCAGGCCCAUCUUCAAGCCACAGAUUGCUCCGUGUUUUAUGAUUCUCUCAUGCGAGAAAACCCAGUUAUCCGGUCUUAGCUAUCGUUUCCGAUAGUUAUCCCAGUCUUAAAGGCAGGUUACCUACGUGUUACUCACCCGUCCGCCGCUAGCUUGUCCCGAAGGACAAACCCGCUCGACUUGCAUGUAUUAGGCACGCCGCCAGCGUCG
rnacentral:rRNA from 1 species